rnacentral:rRNA from 1 species
CUUGCCAGACAAGCUGAGAGGAGGUGCAUGGCCGUCGCCGGCUCGUGCCGUGAGGUGUCCGGUUAAGUCCGGCAACGAGCGAGACCCCCGCCCUUAGUUGCUAUCUACUCCCUAUGGGGAGUAGAGCACUCUAAGGGGACUGCCGGCGUUAAGCCGGAGGAAGGUGGGGGCUACGGCAGGUCAGUAUGCCCCGAAACCCCCGGGCUACACGCGAGCUGCAAUGGCGGGGACAGCGGGUUCCGACCCCGAAAGGGGAAGGCAAUCCCUUAAACCCCGUCUCAGUAGGAAUCGAGGGCUGCAACUCGCCCUCGUGAACAUGGAAUGCCUAGUAACCGCGUGUCACCAACGCGCGGUGAAUACGUCCCUGCUCCU